UUCUGUGGUGAGUCCUGUUUGUGUUGUCGACCAAGGUGGCUACGUUUUUUUUAAUUUUCUCCGACAAUAAUCAUUAAAUAAGAGAAACGCAUCGGUCACUCGAAUAUAACGUUCCGAGAAUUCAAAUUAGACGACCGCGGUCCUACUCAGGCUCUUGACGAUGUCACGCUACCGCGAAUGGGACCUUUCUUGCAAGGUGUACGUCGGCAAUUUGGGCUCGUCGGCCAGCAAACACGAAAUCGAGAGCGCGUUCAGCAAAUUCGGGCCUCUGAGAAAUGUAUGGGUGGCGAGAAAUCCACCGGGCUUCGCGUUUGUGGAAUUCGAAGAUCCCCGGGACGCGGAGGACGCGGUUAGAGGCUUGGACGGCACUCGUUGCUGUGGAGUGAGGGUGAGAGUAGAGAUGUCCAGCGGAAGGUCGCGAAGAGGUGGAGGCAGACGGGGACCGUCGCGAUAUUCGAGAGACAGGGUCACCCGGUCGUUGCUCUACUACUACCUUCACCCCCCUUGAGUCAACACAUCUCCCAACCCCCCAAAGGCCUUCUCAACAACACAUCUUGUUCAUCAAAAUCAACCACCAACAAAAACACCACCCGGGUCGCACCAAAAAAAAUCCGUCAGCCCUUAGCGGUACCGACCCCCGGCCAAACAGGCAAUUUAACAACAACGGCCGCUAAAAAUUACCAAGCGGGCCGAGUCAUCAGCUUUACAAAUUCAAUGCAAUUCUACCACCACCACCACCACUACUACGGCCCGGCUUCUAGUCCAACCUCAUCUCCGCAACGACGGAGGAAGCCGUCCGGUGGGAUAUUUUCAAGUUUUUUUUGGGGCCUUAAUCGAAAAGGGUCGAGGUCUCCGAGACGGUCGAGGUCUAGGUCCCGUUCGAGGAGCCGUGGCAGGGACUCUCGUGAUAGGAGCGAUUCACGAGACAGACGUUAAAUGAUAACCUUGAUUGCUUAAACAAACGUAUUAUUAAGUUUAAUCAUCAUUUGUGGCGCGACAGCGCCCUCGGAUUUUGUGAUCAAUAAUAUUAUACAAUUUUUUUUUUUGGCACAUAUUUUUAAGGUUAUACCUAUUUUGUCCAAAAUAAUUGAGUCGGAUUGUCCUAUCGAGAUGACCGGUUUUACUUUAUACGCGAGGCGGUGUUCGCCAAGAGACUAACGCAUAUUUCUGUAGGUUUCAUCUUGUUUUGUAUUUUAUUUUAAGAGCAGAACAAUAAAAU